rnacentral:misc_RNA from 1 species
GGUAUUCACACCUGUUCGAUGUUAUAGGGAUUAGUGAUCUGAUUAUUUUAUUGAUCUUUCUAUAUUAAGGUUAUCUUCCAGUAUCUGAAAACUAGGGCCCAAUGUUUUUCCGUAGAAUACCCGGUAGGUUAUUUAUCAAGAUGUUAGCUGUACCUGUAAACAAGAUACAAAGUACAGGCCGUUCAUUGUUCAAUUUACAUAACACAUUUUAUAAAUAGAAAAGGGUAACAAUUUCAGUGUGUGCUUGUUUGUUAGUAUUUGUCAGUACCAGUUUUGACAAACUUUAUACUAUAUAAAAUGUAUGAUGUACAUUAAAAAUGACAUCCAAAUAUUUUGUUAAGUGUUUCUUGAGCCAUCAGAUAAUGCAGGCAUUGUUAUAAAUGGUGUGUAAUUUAUUUAAUUCUAAGGUUUAAAUUAUAAUUUGUGCUUUGUUUGGUUUCUCUCAAUGUUAGUUAUUCAGUAUUGUCAAAUAAAAUCCCAACAGUCAUGAGUUCAUGCAUGUUGUGAGAAGUACCUGGCAUUAUACCUGCAAUAUUAACUUUUACUUUAAACCUACAUGUAUAUUUAACAUUUCAUGUCUUAAAUUAUUUCAUUUGCAUUCUCUCACCUUUGUUACUUUCAUUGUAUUGAAAUGUACCUUCUGUUUAUUUUAAAAAAUCUUAGUUAUUGUUUGUAAAUUUUGAUAUAUAAGAAAAAUUAUUGUAAAUUCAAAUGUAAAUCUUCUGUGCUUAGGCAUUUGCUAAUUUGUUGAUCAAAAAUUUUUUGUUGUUAAAUACUUGUGCAAAAGUAUGAAAUUUUACAAUAGCUGUGCUAUGUGGAAUUAUUUUAGCAAUUGGAUACAAAUGAAUGUGUGCCUUGCAUAUUUGUUGUUUGUCAAUCAUGAACAAAAUAUAAAUGCUAGUCCAAAUG